AUUGAACGCUGGCGGAAUGCUUUACACAUGCAAGUCGAACGGCAGCACGGACUUCGGUCUGGUGGCGAGUGGCGAACGGGUGAGUAAUGUAUCGGAACGUGCCCAGUCGUGGGGGAUAACGUAGUGAAAAUUACGCUAAUACCGCAUACGAUCUAUGGAUGAAAGCGGGGGAUCGCAAGACCACGCGCGAUUGGAGCGGCCGAUAUCAGAUUAGGUAGUUGGUGGGGUAAAGGACCACCAAGCCAACGAUCUGUAGCUGGUCUGAGAGGACGACCAGCCACACUGGAACUGAGACACGGUCCAGACUCCUACGGGAGGCAGCAGUGGGGAAUUUUGGACAAUGGGCGAAAGCCUGAUCCAGCCAUUCCGCGUGCAGGAUGAAGGCCCUCGGGUUGUAAACUGCUUUUGUACAGAACGAAAAGGUUUCUACUAAUACUAGGAGCUCAUGACGGUACUGUAAGAAUAAGCACCGGCUAACUACGUGCCAGCAGCCGCCGCAG
rnacentral:rRNA from 1 species